rnacentral:rRNA from 1 species
UACGAAGGGGGCUAGCGUUGUUCGGAAUUACUGGGCGUAAAGCGCGCGCAGGCGGUUCUUCAAGUCAGUGGUGAAAGCCCGGAGCUCAACUCCGGAACUGCCAUUGAAACUGUAGAACUUGAGGAUGAGAGAGGUGAGUGGAAUUCCCAGUGUAGAGGUGAAAUUCGUAGAUAUUCGCAGGAACACCAGUGGCGAAGGCGGCUUACUGGUCCAUAACUGACGCUGAGGUGCGAAAGCGUGGGGAGCAAACA